rnacentral:rRNA from 1 species
GACGAACGCUGGCGGCGUGCUUAACACAUGCAAGUCGAACGGUAAGGCCCUUCGGGGUACACGAGUGGCGAACGGGUGAGUAACACGUGGGUGAUCUGCCCUGCACUUCGGGAUAAGCCUGGGAAACUGGGUCUAAUACCGGAUAGGACCACUGCCUGCAUGGGUGGUGGUGGAAAGCUUUUGCGGUGUGGGAUGGGCCCGCGGCCUAUCAGCUUGUUGGUGGGGUGAUGGCCUACCAAGGCGACGACGGGUAGCCGGCCUGAGAGGGUGACCGUCCACACGGGGACUGAGAUACGGCCCAGACGCCUACGGGAGGCAGCAGUGGGGAAUAUUGCACAAUGGGCGCAAGCCUGAUGCAGCGACGCCGCGUGAGGGAUGACGGCCUUCGGGUUGUAAACCUCUUUCAGCACCGACGAAGCGCAAGUGACGGUAGGUGCAGAAGAAGGACCGGCCAACUACGUGCCAGCCGCCGCGGUAA